GAGGCCGCCGCCGUGACGGGUGUCCCCGCAAGGGGAUGAAAAUGGGAACUCGGUUCGAACCCGAGGCUGCCCCCGCAACUGUAACCGGCGAGCAUUCGCGCCAUCAUGCCACUGGAGCACAUCCGGGAAGGCGGCGCGCAUGUAGUGACCCGGGAGCCAGGAGACCUGCCGGUCACAGUCGAUUCCU
rnacentral:ncRNA from 2 species